AAGAGUAUAGUUUAGUGGUAGAACAUUGGUCUUCAAAACCAAUAAUGUGGGUUCGAUUCCUGCUACUCUUG
rnacentral:tRNA from 1 species